rnacentral:rRNA from 1 species
CAGCAGCCGCGGUAUUACCAGCUCCUCGAGUUGUUGGGACGAUUAUUGGGUCUAAAGCGUCCGUAGCCGGCCGGAAAAGUUCUCCGUUAAAUCCGACGAUCCAAUCGUUGGGCUGCGGAGAAUACUUUCUGGCUUGGGGGCGGGGGAGGUCGGCGGUAGUCCCGGGGUAGGGGCGAAAUCCUAUAAUCUCGGGAGGACCACCAGUGGCGAAGGCGGCCGACCAAAACGCGCCCGACGGUGAGGGGCGAAAGCUGGGGGAGCGAACGGGAUUAGAUACCCCGGUAGUCCCAGCUGUAAACGAUGCAGGCUAGGUGUCGGAACGGUCACGAACCGGUUCGGUGCCGCAGGGAAGUCAUUAAGCCUGCCACCUGGGAAGUACGGCCGCAAGGUUGAAACUUAAAGGAAUUGGCGGGGGAGCACCACAAGGGGUGAAGCUUGCGGUUUAAUUGGAGUCAACACCGGAAAUCUUACCAGGAAAGACAGCGGGAUGAAAGUCAGAUUAAAGGUCUUACUGGACUAGCUGAGAGGAGGUGCAUGGCCGUCGCCAGCUCGUGCCGUGAGGUGUUCUCUUAAGUGAGACAACGAGCGAGACCCGUACUACUAGUUGCCAGCGGUUUCCUUUGGGAAUCCGGGCACACUAGGAGGACUGCCUCCGCUAAGGAGGAGGAAGGAGCGGGCCACGGCAGGUCAGUAUGCCCCGAAUUUCCUGGGCAACACGCGAGCUGCAAUGACUGGGACAAUGGGUUUCGACCCCGAGAGGGGAAGGUAAUCCCCAAACCCAGCCUCAGUUGGGAUAGAGGGUUGUAACUCACCCUCUUGAACAUGGAAUCCCUAGUAACCGCGUGUCACCAUCGCGCGGUGAAUACGUCCCUGCCCCUUGCACAC